rnacentral:lncRNA from 1 species
CCUUACCCCUACCCGAAAGGGCAGAGAGGCUGUUUCCAAUCGACCCUCGGCUCAGUCAAGGAAAGGAAAAAAAAAAACAAAAAUAAAAACAAAAACGAAAAACAAAAAUAAAAGAGCGUUAGUAACUCCAACAGAAAUAGCGUAAGCCUAAGGCCUACCACAUGUUUGAAAUAUACUACUUAGCAAACCAUACAGUAAUAACAGAACGUGGCUAUUACAUUGUCAAUCCCUUUUUAAUUAGUAUAUAUGGGAGAUUUAUUAACUAAAUGACUCUACAUAAAUAUUGUUCAUUUAUACAUAAACAAACACCUACAUGAUUCUAGUGAAAGAAGUAUUCUAAUGUAUAUACAAACAAGUAAACAACUACAAUGAAUUUAAAACUUCAAAUCUUAAUUUCUUUGUAUUCAUGCUUCAAUUUCAACUAACAGGAUAUAGCAAUGUAUCAGUUUGUGUACCUGGUAUUUGGAAAAGCAAAGAAGAGGAAGAUCAGUAGAAGCAACAGUAGUGUAAGCAGCAACACAACAACACAGGUUCACCAACACAACAGAACCAGUAGCAAACAGUAGCAGAAAUCCCAGGAAAGAUUUAAAACCAAGCAGGGAAAACCAGGAACUUCCAAACCAUCAGAAAACCAAUAGUAAACCCUAUCAACACCACUUGAAUACUAGUAGUACUAUAGUGUAAGCAGCGACACAACAACACAGGUUCAGCAACAUAAAAGACCCAAUAGCAAACAGUAGCAGAAAUCCUAGGAAUGAUUUAAAACCAAACAGGAAAACCCCGAAACUUUCAAACCAACAGAAAACAAAGACACUCAACUGAAACAGUGUUCAAACCCCAACAGAAAAGCCCAGUAGCAGAUUCCACCACCAAGCAGUACCAAAUGAUAAUCACAGACAAAGAGAAGAGAGGCAGCCACAAAAGAAGCAUCACUUUCAGUUUAUGAACUCUCAAAAACUAACUGACUUCUCGAUGAAAAGGUCAUCCUAUAUUUGCUUCCUAACUUUGAAACCUUAGUGUAAGUUUCAACCGAUGUUUUGCACUCAAUACUGACUUCUAUUUCACUCUUAAGCUCUGACUUUCUAAUCUCCAAAAAUCAGUUUUAAACUGUAUCUCUCUCUCGACUUUCUCUCCAAAAAAUUCAUUCCCUAAUUAAGUGUCAAAUGACUCCUAUUUAUACCCAAAGCAUACCCCUUUCAGCCCUUCUUUUCUUUUACAGUUGUAAAAGAAGCCUUCUAUUAUUACCCCCUACUUUUUUUUACUUUUCAGGUCUAAUAUUCUUCUACUAUGUGAACCCUUUUAGCCUUUUAUCAUUAACCUACUAUUUCUAAUUUCCAAUUACCAAAAGCAUUAGGCCCAUCCCUUAUUAAUUAGUUCAAUUUAAAGCAUAUCAAGGCCCUACUUGGACAGACUACUUAGUCAAACCAUUUUUCAACUGUUCCAUUCCCAAAUUACCCUUGAAACCCCCUGACUGUUACUGUAUUACCCUAAGCUUAGAAGUCUGAAGUUACAACCUAUAUAAACUUACACCUGAUUUCAGGUUGAACUAUUAGAUCACUACAUCUAUAUCCAAUUCUUAGCUUAGGCUCAAACAAAUCAUAACACAGAAGGGGUGUUAAUCAAAUGGCAUGAGUUGGUCAUAUUGGGAACCAAUCCUGACCAACUCAAAACCAACUGAUCAAUAUGGAGUUGAUAAUGCAAGCUAAGGAAUGAGGCAGUAUCAAUCAGGUCAUAGCACAGACAAGAGAAAUAUGCACGUAAUUACACUAACAUGAGCAAACUCAUGCUUCUCUAGUUUUUCAGAUGAUUUUAGUUGACGACACUUAUUUAAUCGACUAACAAACUAUGACAUUUCAACAAUUAACAACAAACAAGCAGACUAAACAGGUCAACAGGUGAUUGAGUGUCGAACUAAUCGUCCACUUUUAACCAAGUUAAAUACACAGUUCAUCGCAAACAGAUAUAAUUAACAAACAAAGAAGAUCGACCAAAUAAAAGGUCUGUUAGAGAUGAACUUGAAAUGAAAGAAAAAUGAAAAAUUAAAUAAACUAAGCUAAACAUGUAGCAGAUAAGAAUCAUGCAUAUAAAACAGAAGGAAAAAGAAAAGGUACCUCAGGCACUCAAAAAACACAGAUGACCCAGGCUUGAAUCGGACUUGACCUGCUUGAGGUCGAACGGAAUUUAAUCGAAGUGUUCUCAACUGAGAACACCUCGAUUAAGGUCUGUUAGACCCUAAUCCCUCUUUUAAUUGGAAAGAUUCCAUAAUUUUGAAUUCUAGGGUUCAUACGGUCUAAUUUGGGGCUUGAAGCUUUUUGGUUAGAUUCGAACCAAACCAAGCUUGAUUUGGUUAAGAUGGAGGUCAGGGGAGUAACUGGUGUGAUUUGGGGAGGGAUUGGCAUAGAUUAGGUUUUGGCUCAAAUCUUCAAAUGAAGAUUCGACAAGAUUUAGGUUGAUUCGAGCCAAACUAACACUGGAUUUGGAUUCAGGGCGGCUAGAUGGAUCUAUGGUGUUAAGGAGGUGGUCGGCGGCGUUGAUGCCGCCGGGUUUCAGGCAAAGGCGAACUAAAGCGGCUAGAGUUUGAACCCUAAGCUCCGUCUAUGAAUGAGAGAGAUAGAGAGAGAAAUGAGGGUGUUUGGUUAUGGGAGCGUGGGGUGAGAUACAGAGGUUUAUAUACGAGGGUGGGUGAUUUGAUCCUGGCUGUUGGAUCAAAUGAGAUUGAUGGCCAGGAUCUCUUCAUUAAGGGGAACAAUGCCGUUUUGAUUAAAUGAAGAUUGGGUCGGUCUUGGGGGUGAAAUGGGUCGGGUAUAUAAGAGUGAUUGAGGCUGUUGGAUUGACUGAGAUGAAUGGCCCUGAUCAAAGCUCCUGAACGUUGU